AUGGGUGACAAUGAGAACAACAUGACCGCGUCUGGCAAUUGGGAUGCCCUCGCUGGUUUGUCUGCUCCAAGCAAGAAGCGUGGUGUUGGCCGGCCGUGCUCGAGCAGAGAGAAAGUGUCAUACGAAGGCUUGAGUAAGCGCACAAGGUUGUGCAGUAUAUGCAAGCUCCCAGGGCAUAAGAGGACAAUCUGCCUGUGCCGAAACAACCUCGCAAGCCUGUUACGUGCAAGAACUGUUGUACGACGGGACAACGUCGCACCUCUGUACGAGGCCGCUUGUGCCCAACGCCUAGGACUUUUUUCAGACCAUGUGUAA
rnacentral:rRNA from 1 species